UACGGGGGGGGCAAGCGUUGUUCGGAAUUACUGGGCGUAAAGGCUCGUAGGCGGCCAACUAAGUCCGACGUGAAAUCCCCAGCUUAACCUGGGAACUGCGUCGGAUACUGGAUGGCUUGAAUUCGGGAGAGGGAUGCAGAAUUCCAGGUGUAGCGGUGAAAUGCGUAGAUAUCUGGAGGAAUACCGGUGGCGAAGGCGGCAUCCUGGACCGACAUUGACGCUGAUGAGCGAAAGCUAGGGGAGCAAACGGG
rnacentral:rRNA from 1 species